rnacentral:rRNA from 1 species
CGUUCCCAUCCCGAACACGGAAGUUAAGACCUUCAGGGCUGAUGAUACUUGGACCGCAGGGUCCUGGGAAAGUAAGUCGUUGCCAGGU